rnacentral:rRNA from 1 species
GUGCAGCAGGCGAGAAACCUCCGCAAUGCGGGAAACCGCGACGGGGGACCCCGAGCGCCGUGGCAACGCCACGGCUUUUCCGGAGUGUAAAAAGCUCCGGGAAUAGGGGCUGGGCAAGGCCGGUGGCAGCCGCCGCGGUAAUACCGGCGGCCCGAGUGGUGGCCGCUAUUAUUGGGCCUAAAGCGUCCGUAGCCGGGCCCGUAAGUCCCCUGGCGAAAUCCCACGGCUCAACCGUGGGGCUUGCUGGGGAUACUGCGGGUCUUGGGACCGGGAGAGGCGGGGGGUA